AAGUCGUAACAAGGUUUCCGUAGGUGAACCUGCGGAAGGAUCAUUACCGAAUGACACCUGUACCUUCUUGUAGCAGACCGUCAUUGACCAGCUGACGGUGAAUGAAUGGUCUGUUACGCCUAACCAUCAAACAUGUUGUUGCAUGGUGGGGUGGGCAUCCUUUUGUUGGGUUGCGCCUCAAGUAUGGAAAUAUCAAUAUAACUUUCAACAACGGAUCUCUUGGCUCUCGCAUCGAUGAAGAACGCAGCGAAAUGCGAUAAGUAAUGUGAAUUGCAGAAUUCAGUGAAUCAUCGAAUCUUUGAACGCACCUUGCGCUCCUUGGCAUUCCGAGGAGCAUGCCUGUUUGAGUGUCAUUGAAUCUCUCUCAGAACCCUCCUGGGUUUGGAUUUGUGGAGGAUGCAUUGCUACCCAAAAUGCUGGGUUUGCGCUUGCUUCUCUGAAAUGGAUUGGCAUAAGGUGGCGAUUCACGUCGGUAUGAUACAAUCAAUGUCUUACCUGGUCGUGAGCCAUGCCAGCCCAGCCAGAAAUGACGACGGUCAGUCUCACACAAUUUGACCUCAAAUCAGGCAGGACUACCCGCUGAACUUAA
rnacentral:rRNA from 1 species